AACAGAACAUGGCCAAGAUGUUCAAAUGUUCAUAAAUGACCAGCAUGGUCGAAUAAUAAUAAGGCAGAACAGUUGAAACUGGAGCAGCAGCACAGUCAGGUGGAAGUUGAAACUGGAGCAGCAGCAUGGCCAGGUGGACUGGGGACAGCAAGGAGUCAUCAUGUCAGAUAGUCCUGGGGCAUGGUCCUAGGGCUCAGGUCAGUUGAAACUGGAACAGCAGCAUGGCCAGGUGGACUGGGGACAGCAAGGAGUCAUCAUGUCAGGUAGUCCUGGAGCUCAGGUCCUAGGGCUCAGGUCCUCCGAGAGAGAGAAAGAAAGAGAGAAGGAGAGAAUUAGAGAACGCACACUUAGAUUCACACAGGACACCGAAUAGGACAGGAGAAGUACUCCAGAUAUAACAAACUGACCCCAGCCCCCCGACACAUAAACUACUGCAGCAUAAAUACUGGAGGCUGAGACAGGAGGGGUCAGGAGACACUGUGGCCCCAUCCGAGUUCCUGCCUUUCUA
ensembl:lncRNA